AACGAUGUCGACUNGAGGUGUUCCCUGAGGAGUGGCUUCGGAGCUAACGCGUUAAGUCGACCGCCUGGGAGUACGGCCGCAAGGUUAAAACUCAAAUGAAUUGACGGGGGCCCGCACAAGCGGUGGAGCAUGUGGUUUAAUUCGAUGCAACGCGAAGAACCUUACCUACUCUUGACAUCCACGGAACUUUUCAGAGAUGAAUUGGUGCCUUCGGGAACCGUGAGACAGGUGCUGCAUGGCUGUCGUCAGCUCGUGUUGUGAAAUGUUGGGUUAAGUCCCGCAACGAGCGCAACCCUUAUCCUUUGUUGCCAGCGAUUCGGUCGGGAACUCAAAGGGGACUGCCAGUGAUAAACUGGAGGAAGGUGGGGAUGACGUCAAGUCAUCAUGGCCCUUACGAGUAGGGCUACACACGUGCUACAAUGGCAUAUACAAAGAGAAGCGACCUCGCGAGAGCAAGCGGACCUCAUAAAGUAUGUCGUAGUCCGGAUCGGAGUCUGCGACUCGACUCCGUGAAGUCGGAAUCGCUAGUAAUCGUGGAUCAGAAUGCCACGGUGAAUACGUUCCCGGGCCUUGUACACACCGCCCGUCACACCAUGGGAGUGGGUUGCAAAAGAAGUAGGUAGCUUAACCUUCGGGAGGGCGCUUACCACUUUGUGAUUCAUGACUGGGGUGAAGUCGUAACAAGGUAGCCGUAA
rnacentral:rRNA from 1 species